CAAGAGCAUAUAUUAAAGUUGUUGCAGUUAAAAAGCUCGUAGUUGGAUUUCUGGUAUAAUGCGCCUGGCCCGCGGCUAUUUAAGCCUGUGAGUGCCGGUGUGCGUUUGCCAUCCUUCUAGAAAACGUUUCUACCCUUCACUGGGCCGGACUCGCGAUCUAGAUCUUUUACUUUGAAAAAAUUAGAGUGUUUAAAGCAGGCUUUUGCUAUGAAUACAUUAGCAUGGAAUAAUAAUCUAGGACUUCGGUUCUAUUUUGUUGGUUUCUAGAUCUGAAGUAAUGAUUGAUAGGGAGUAGUUGGGGGUGGCUAGUAUUAAGGGGCCAGAGGUGAAAUUCUUGGAUUCUCUUAAGACUAACUUAUGCGAAAGCAUUCACCAAGGAUGUCUUCUUUAA
rnacentral:rRNA from 1 species